GUGUGAACAGGACGGUCUGAGGUCCCUUCCAACCCAACCGUAUGUGAUUCUUGGGAGGUGCCGCCCUGGUCCUUGGCCUCAGGAUGAAGGGUGAUGCCUGAGGCCAGCACUGUUGGGAAGAGAGGGAUGGAGCAUUGAUGCGGAAGGCCUUGGGUCCUUGAGAGCUAGGUUUGGUUUGAAGCACAGGCUUGGGGCUGCUGGUGUGCCUUCAGAUGAGGCUAAAGCACCCAUGUAAGCAUCCGUAGCCCUCAGGUCCCCACACACUGCACUGACAGCCCGGUCACUCAUGCUCCAGCACAGUGGCAGAGCAUCUCCGGUAGCAACCAGAGGAGCACAGGUUAUUUAUAUUCAUGUGGCAGCUCUGCCAGCCGUGACUCUGUUAUCUGCCAUGCAUGAAUAUUAUUUGAAUACGCAGUAAUACGGAGUUUGUCGUGACUAUUCUUCUGCGUGAAGCGAGGGAUUUGCGGCGGGAUGGCAGCCCUCCCUCCAGCUGUCAGUCAGGAGGGGUUUCCUUUUCCUGUCUUGUUGAAGCCGCGUCCCCAGCAAGGAGGUGGAUUCCCCCUCUACAGGACUAACGCACCCAAAUCUGGCUGCAAGGCAGAGGACGUGCAAGCGCUCUGCAUGAGAGCAUCACCAGUUCCUUACUGUGAGUUCACCCAUCACCAGCAAGGGAUUUAUCCAUAGAUGAAAAUGAGGCUGAAGCUCCCAGGAAUGAGAAAUCUCGUGCUGCCAAGCCACACAGUGCUGCUACUGCAGGAGAGUAAGCACCAAACCACGCUGCCCGCCCUUGGCCAUGGGGCUGCACACCGCAGAG
rnacentral:lncRNA from 1 species